AACGAACGCUGGCGGCAUGCCUAACACAUGCAAGUCGAACGAGACCUUCGGGUCUAGUUGCGCACGGGUGCGUAACGCGUGGUAAUCUGCCCUUGGGUUCGGAAUAACAGUUGGAAACGACUGCUAAUACCGGAUGAUGACGUAAGUCCAAAGAUUUUUCGCCCAAGGAUGAUCCCGCGUAGGAUUAGCUAGUUGGUGAGGUAAAGGCUCACCAAGGCGACGAUCCUUAGCUGGUCUGAGAGGAUGAUCAGCCACACUGGGACUGAGACACGGCCGAGACUACGACGGGAGGGAGGAGUGGGGAAUAUUGGAAAAGGGGGGAAAGGAUGAUAGAGCAAUGAGGGGUGAGUGAUGAAGGACUUAGGGUAGUAAAGCUCUUUUACAAGGGAAGAUAAUGACAGUAACGGGAGAAUAAGCACCGGCUAACUACGUG
rnacentral:rRNA from 1 species